UACGAAGGGUGCAAGCGUUGUUCGGAAUCAUUGGGCGUAAAGCGCGCGCAGGCGGAUUAGUAAGUCAGAUGUGAAAUCUCGAAGCUCAACUUCGAAACUGCGUCUGAAACUACUAGUCUAGAAUGUCGGAGGGGGCAGGGGAAUUUCACGUGUAGGGGUAAAAUCCGUAGAGAUGUGAAGGAACACCGGAGGCGAAGGCGCCUGCCUGGACGACUAUUGACGCUGAAGCGCGAAAGCGUGGGGAGCAAACAGG
rnacentral:rRNA from 1 species